GACGAACGCUGGCGGCGUGCUUAACACAUGCAAGUCGAACGGAAAGGCCCUGCUUUUGUGGGGUGCUCGAGUGGCGAACGGGUGAGUAACACGUGAGUAACCUGCCCUUGACUUUGGGAUAACUUCAGGAAACUGGGGCUAAUACCGGAUAGGAGCUCCUGCUGCAUGGUGGGGGUUGGAACGUUUCGGCGGUUGGGGAUGGACUCGCGGCUUAUCAGCUUGUUGGUGGGGUAGUGGCUUACCAAGGCUUUGACGGGUAGCCGGCCUGAGAGGGUGACCGGCCACAUUGGGACUGAGAUACGGCCCAGACGCCUACGGGAGGCAGCAGGGGGGAAUAUUGCACAAUGGGCGGAAGCCUGAUGCAGCGACGCCGCGUGCGGGAUGACGGCCUUCGGGUUGUAAACCGCUUUCGCCUGUGACGAAGCGUGAGUGACGGUAAUGGGUAAAGAAGCACCGGCUAACUACGUG
rnacentral:rRNA from 1 species